rnacentral:rRNA from 1 species
UCCAGCGGAUCGAUGGGAGCUUGCUCCCUGANUUCAGCGGCGGACGGGUGAGUAACACGUGGGUAACCUGCCUGUAAGACUGGGAUAACUCCGGGAAACCGGGGCUAAUACCGGAUAACACCUACCCCCGCAUGGGGGAAGGUUGAAAGGUGGCUUCGGCUAUCACUUACAGAUGGACCCGCGGCGCAUUAGCUANUUGGUGAGGUAACGGCUCACCANGGCGACGAUGCGUANCCNACCUGANAGGGUGAUCGGCCACACUGGGACUGAGACACNGCCCANACUCCUACGGGAGGCAGCANUAGGGAAUCUUCCGCAAUGGACNAAAGUCUGACAGAGCAACGCCNCGUGAGUGAAGAAGGUUUUCNGAUCGUAAAACUCUGUUGUUANGGAAGAACAAGUGCCGUUCGAAUANGGCGGCACCUUGACGGUACCUAACCANAAAGCCNCGGCUAAAUACNUGCCAGCAGCCGCGGUAAUACGUAGGUGGCAAGCGUUGUCCGGAAUUAUUGGGCGUA